rnacentral:rRNA from 1 species
GAUGAACGCUGGCGGCGUGCCUAAUACAUGCAAGUCGAGCGAACAGACGAGGAGCUUGCUCCUCUGACGUUAGCGGCGGACGGGUGAGUAACACGUGGAUAACCUACCUAUAAGACUGGUAUAACUUCGGGAAACCGGAGCUAAUACCGGAUAAGAUAUUGAACCGCAUGGUUCAAUAGUGAAAGACGGUUUUGCUGUCACUUAUAGAUGGAUCCGCGCCGCAUUAGCUAGUUGGUAAGGUAACGGCUUACCAAGGCAACGAUGCGUAGCCGACCUGAGAGGGUGAUCGGCCACACUGGAACUGAGACACGGUCCAGACUCCUACGGGAGGCAGCAGUAGGGAAUCUUCCGCAAUGGGCGGAAACCUUACGGAGCAACGCCGCGUGAGUGAUGAAAGUCUUCGGUUCGUAAAACUCUGUUAUUAGGGAAAAACCAAUGUGUAAUUAACUAUGCACGUCUUGACGGUACCUAAUCAGAAAGCCCCGGCUAACUACGUG